rnacentral:rRNA from 1 species
AAGUCGUAACAAGGUUUCCGUAGGUGAACCUGCGGAAGGAUCAUUAAAGUGUUUCUCAGGUAGAACCUGCCCCCAACUCGGGGGUAGGGACUGCCUGGAACGCCCACCCUUGUAUAACCAAACCAGUGUUGCCUUGGCGGGCCCGCCGGACUCGUUCCGGCCGCCGGGGGGUAAAUCCCCGGGCCCGAGCCCGCCAACGGACUUCAAUUGAACUUCUGAACUGUAUAAUGGCUGUCUGAGUGAUUAAGAAAUAUAAGCAAAACUUUCAACAACGGAUCUCUUGGUUCCGGCAUCGAUGAAGAACGCAGCGAAAUGCGAUAAGUAAUGUGAAUUGCAGAAUUCCGUGAAUCAUCGAAUCUUUGAACGCACAUUGCGCCCCCUGGUAUUCCGGGGGGCAUGCCUGUCCGAGCGUCAUUGCAACCCCUCAAGCCCGGCUUGUGUGUUGAACGGCAGUCUAGCUAAUGACUGGUUCCAAAUGCAGUGACGGCGUCACCAACUGGUGCUGAGUUGUAUGGGUAACUACGCAGCUUCUAGCCGAGUGGGGGCGCUGGUCUUAACUAAAUUACUUCUGUGGUUGACCUCGGAUCAAGGUAGGGAUACCCGCUGAACUUAA